UACGGGGGGUGCGAGCGUUGUCCGGAAUCACUGGGCGUAAAGGGCGCGUAGGUGGUCUGAUAAGGGUGUGGUGAAAGCCCGGGGCUCAACCCCGGGUCGGCCGUGCCGACUGUUAGACUAGAGUGCUGUAGGGGCAGGCGGAAUUCCGGGUGUAGCGGUGAAAUGCGUAGAUAUCUGGAGGAACACCGGUGGCGAAGGCGGCAUCCUGGACCGGUAUUGACGCUGAGACGCGAAAGCUAGGGGAGCAAACGGG
rnacentral:rRNA from 1 species